UGGCGGCGUGCUUAACACAUGCAAGUCGAGCGGAAAGCCCUUUCGGGGGUACUCGAGCGGCGAACGGGUGAGUAACACGUGAGUAAUCUGCCCUUGGCUUUGGGAUAGCCACCGGAAACGGUGAUUAAUACCGGAUAUGACCACUCCAGGCAUCUGGUGGUGGUGGAAAGUUUUUCGGCCAGGGAUGUGCUCGCGGCCUAUCAGCUUGUUGGUGGGGUAAUGGCCUACCAAGGCUUCGACGGGUAGCCGGCCUGAGAGGGUGACCGGCCACACUGGGACUGAGACACGGCCCAGACUCCUACGGGAGGCAGCAGUGGGGAAUAUUGGACAAUGGGCGGAAGCCUGAUCCAGCAACGCCGCGUGAGGGAUGACGGCCUUCGGGUUGUAAACCUCUUUCAGCGGGGACGAAGCGCAAGUGACGGUACCCGCAGAAGAAGCACCGGCCAACUACGUGCCAGCAGCCGCGGUAGUACGUAGGGUGCGAGCGUUGUCCGGAAUUAUUGGGCGUAAAGGGCUCGUAGGCGGUUUGUCGCGUCGGGAGUGAAAACACUGGGCUUAACUCAGUGCUUGCUUUCGAUACGGGCAGACUAGAGGUAUGCAGGGGAGAACGGAAUUCCUGGUGUAGCGGUGAAAUGCGCAGAUAUCAGGAGGAACACCGGUG
rnacentral:rRNA from 1 species